rnacentral:rRNA from 1 species
UACGAAGGGGUUGAGCGUUGCUCGGAAUCACUGGCGUAAAGCGCACGUAGGCGGCUUGUUAAGUCAGGGGUGAAAUCCUGGAGCUCAACUCCAGAACUGCCUUUGAUACUGGCGAGCUUGAGUUCGGGAGAGGUGAGUGGAACUGCGAGUGUAGAGGUGAAAUUCGUAGAUAUUCGCAAGAACACCAGUGGCGAAGGCGGCUCACUGGCCCGGUACUGACGCUGAGGUGCGAAAGCG